UAAAGCACUUUUAAGUUGGGAGGAAGGGCAUGCACCUAAUACGUGUGUGUCUUGACGUUACCGACAGAAUAAGCACCGGCUAACUCUGUGC
rnacentral:rRNA from 1 species